rnacentral:rRNA from 1 species
GACAGCGAAAUUAGAAAUAGUGCUUUAACAGAAGAGCCUGAAGUUAAAAGGGUCAUAGUCUGUGGUGAAGUUGGAUUCCCGUGCUUGAGGAAAUUUGUUUAUGAUAAUCGGUAUGCUUGGAUGAAUUUGACGUUUGCUGCUGGAGCCAUGCCCAAUGUAGAUGACCUUUUGAUAGCAUUUGACCCAGAAGAAACUGAGUCUGUCGGUACUAGUGGUGAUUUUGAUCUCGGAAUCGAAAAUCUCCGCAGCCUUUUGAGAAUAAGAUGUGGACCACGGAGGCACGAUAGCAGCAGAACUGAGGCUGCCAUUCGGGAAGCAGCCAACAAACAUUCCAACCACCCUAGUCUAUCCUUUGAUUGGUAG